GUCAGGUGUGGUGGUGCACACCUGUAGUCCCAGCUACUUGGGAGGCUGAGGCAGAAGAAUUGCUUGAACCUGGGAGUCGGAGGUUGCAGUGAGCCAAGAUCACGCCACUGCACUCCAGCCUGGGUGACAGAGCGAGACUCUGUCUCAA
rnacentral:SRP_RNA from 1 species